rnacentral:rRNA from 1 species
CGUAGCCGGUUUAAUAAGUCUUUGGUGAAAGCUUGUAGCUUAACUAUAAGAAUUGCUGGAGAUACUAUUAGACUUGAAGUCGGGAGAGGUUAGAGGUACUACCGGGGUAGGGGUGAAAUCCUAUAAUCCUGGGAGGACCACCUGUGGCGAAGGCGUCUAACUAGAACGAUCUUGACGGUGAGUAACGAAAGCCAGGGGCGCGAACCGGAUUAGAUACCCGGGUAGUCCUGGCCGUAAACGAUGUGGACUUGGUGUUGGAAUGGCUUCGAGUUGUUCCAGUGCCGAAGGGAAGCUGUUAAGUCCACCGCCUGGGAAGUACGGUCGCAAGACUGAAACUUAA